GCACUCUUGUUUCUCUUCAGAUCGUAUAAAUCUUUCGCCUUUUACUAAAGAUUUCCGUGGAGAGGAACAACAAGAGUUUAUCCCAAUUUUUUGACGCCCUACCUUCCGGUGGGGUU
rfam:Xiphophorus maculatus strain JP 163 A Contig44.73, whole genome shotgun sequence.